rnacentral:lncRNA from 1 species
AUGGCGCCUGUAUCUCACCACACGGAAAAACAAAACCAACCAUCCAAACAAAAAGAUUCUAGGGCAGUGGCCCCUCUGAACCGAGCCGCGCCCGCUGACCCAGCCCAGCUGCAGUGCCCUGCCAGCUCUUUCCCUCCACUUCCAAGUGCGUCCGACCCUGGAGCCAGGCACGCCAGUGAUCUCCCAUGGCUUCCUCCCGUGCCCCUGAGCUCUGCACCGGUCAGUGUGUGCAGUCCCCGGGCCCGCGGAAUGGCCUGUCUCAGUCUGCGCUUGCCCCAGUAGCUUGCUAGCCACUGCUCAUGGAGCCGGACUCACCUCAGGUCCUUCCCUGAUCUCUCUGGCCAGGUCCAUCCCACAAUUCUAUGCCCUUCCGGAACACUUUCUGUAGUUAACUUGGUGCAGUUUUAAAUUUGCAAACAUCUUUGUGUUUCCUUGAUUCACAUCUGUUUCUGGAGUUGACUACACCUCUUGGGGACAGGGGCCGCCUCUGGUGUUUCCCACCCAGAUGUCACGGGUAUUCAGUCCACUUCUUACAAACGGCUUGCACUCAGUGCACAUCUGUUGAAUGGUGGAUGUCAGGCAGAUUUAUUCAACAACAUUAAAUGUAAAUAGGGAAUGUUAUGAACAAUAGAUAUUCACCUUUUAUUUUUUAAAUCUCCCCUUUCAGUAGGGAAAAGACAAAAGCUCCUAAUUAUUUUUAUUAUUAUGUUUUUUGGACCAGGGAUUGAACUCAGGACCUUGUACUUGCCAGGCAGGUGCAGCGCCACUGCAAAAACUCUUAAUCUUAAGAAUGGAAUAGGAGGACAAAGUGGAGCAUGGGGUCCAAAGGAGAGGCAGUCAAGUCUGUCCCAAGGAAUCUAUGGAGAUGUCACAGAAGACAACACAUGCAGCUGUGGCUUGUCCUAUAAAUAUGAGUUUUCCAAUAAAGCAAUGCUCCAAACA